CGUUGAAACUCCGGUUCUUGUACGAUCACUGAAGUUAUGUAACUUCAAGCAAGGUCAGUACCAAAAUGAGUGACCGCUCGGGAAUACCAGGUGCCGUAAG